GACGAACGCUGGCGGCGUGCCUAAUACAUGCAAGUCGAACGCAGUGGGGACUGGUGAGUAACACGUGGGUAACCUCCCAUCAGAGGGGAUAACCCUUGGAAACAGGUGCUAAACCGAUACUGAUGGAUGGACCCGGGGUGCAUUAGCUAGUUGGUGAGGUAACGGCUCACAAAGGCCACGAUGCAUAGCGGGCCUGAGAGGGUGAUCGGCCACACUGGGACUGAGACACGGCCCAGACUCCUACGGGAGGCAGCAGUAGGGAAUCUUCGGCAAUGGGCGAAAGUCUGACCCAGCAACGCCGCGUGAGUGAAGAAGGUUUUCGGAUCGUAAAACUCUGUUGUUAGAGAAGCGGUAUCUAAACAGAAAGCAACGGCUAACUACGUGCCAGCAGCCGCGGUAAUUC
rnacentral:rRNA from 1 species